rnacentral:rRNA from 1 species
CCUACGGGUGGCAGCAGUGAGGAAUAUUGGUCAAUGGGCGCGAGCCUGAACCAGCCAAGUCGCGUGAGGGAAGACGGUCCUAUGGAUUGUAAACCUCUUUUGUCGGGGAGCAAAAGACGCCACGCGUGGCGUUCCGAGAGUACCCGAAGAAAAAGCAUCGGCUAACUCCGUGCCAGCAGCCGCGGUAAUACGGAGGAUGCGAGCGUUAUCCGGAUUUAUUGGGAUUAAAGGGUGCGCAGGCGGAAGAUCAAGUCAGCGGUAAAAUUGAGGGGCUCAACCUCUUCGAGCCGUUGAAACUGGUUUUCGUGAGUGAGCGGAAGGCAGGCGGAAUGCGUCGUGUAGCGGUGAAAUGCUUAGAUAUGACGAAGAACCCCGAUUGCGAAGGCAGCUUGCUGCAGCGGAACUGACGCUGAUGCUCGAAAGCGCGGGUAUCGAACAGGAUUGGAUACCCCUGUAGUC